AGAAUUAACGCUGGCGGCAUGCGUAACACAUGCAAGUCGUACGAGAAAGCCCGGUUCGCCGGGCGAGUAAAGUGGCGCACGGGUGAGUAACGCGUGGGUAAUCUACCCCGGUCUGGGGGAUAACGCACCGAAAGGUGCGCUAAUACCGCAUGAUCCGACGGGUCCCUGGACCCAUCGGCAAAGGUGGCCUCUGCAUGCAAGCUACCGAACCGGGAUGAGCCCGCGUCCUAUUAGCUUGUUGGUGGGGUAACGGCCCACCAAGGCGACGAUGGGUAGCUGGUCUGAGAGGACGGCCAGCCACACUGGAACUGGUACACGGUCCAGACUCCUACGGGAGGCAGCAGUGAGGAAUAUUGCGCAAUGGGGGAAACCCUGACGCAGCGAUGCCGCGUGGGUGAAGAAGGCCUGCGGGUUGUAAAGCACUUUUAGUGGGGACAAAAAGCUCAGGACUAACACUUCUGGGUCUUGAUUUAACCCAAAGAAAAAGCACCGGCUAACUCUGUGCCAGCAGCCGCGGUAAUACAGAGGGUGCGAGCGUUAAUCGGAAUUACUGGGCGUAAAGCGUGCGCAGGCGGUUAUGCAAGUCUGAUGUGAAAGCCCCGGGCUUAACCUGGGAACGGCAUUGGAGACUGCAAGACUAGAGUGCGUCAGAGGGGGGUAGAAUUCCACGUGUAGCAGUGAAAUGCGUAGAGAUGUGGAGGAAUACCGAUGGCGAAGGCAGCCCCCUGGGAUGACACUGACGCUCAUGCACGAAAGCGUGGGGAGCAAACAGGAUUAGAUACCCUGGUAGUCCACGCCCUAAACGAUGUCAAUUAGCUGUUGGGGGUUUGAAUCCUUGGUAGCGAAGCUAACGCGUGAAAUUGACCGCCUGGGGAGUACGGCCGCAAGGUUAAA
rnacentral:rRNA from 1 species